GAUGAACGCUGGCGGCGUGCCUAAUACAUGCAAGUCGAGCGAACAGACGAGGAGCUUGCUCCUCUGACGUUAGCGGCGGACGGGUGAGUAACACGUGGAUAACCUACCUAUAAUACUGGGAUAACUUCGGGAAACCGGAGCUAAUACCGUAUAAUAUAUUGAACCGCAUGGUUCAAUAGUGAAAGACGGUUUUGCUGUCACUUAUAGAUGGAUCCGCGCCGCAUUAGCUAGUUGGUAAGGUAACGGCUUACCAAGGCAACGAUGCGUAGACGACCUGAGGGGGUGAUAGGCCACACUGGAACUGAGACACGGUCCAGACUCCUACGGGAGGCAGCAGUAGGGAAUCUUCCGCAAUGGGCGAAAGCUUGACGGAGCAACGCCGCGUGAGUGAUGAAGGUCUUCGGAUCGUAAAACUCUGUUAUUAGGGAAGAACAAAUGUGUAAGUAACUAUGCACGUCUUGACGGUAACUAAUCAGAAAGCCACGGCUAACUACGUG
rnacentral:rRNA from 1 species